GAUGAACGCUGGCGGCGUGCCUAAUACAUGCAAGUCGAGCGAACGGACGAGAAGCUUGCUUUUCUGAUGUUAGCGGCGGACGGGUGAGUAACACGUGGAUAACCUACCUAUAAGACUGGGAUAACUUCGGGAAACCUGAGCUAAUACCGGAUAAUAUUUUGAACCGCAUGGUUCAAAAGUGAAAGACGGUCUUGCUGUCACUUAUAGAUGGAUCCGCGCUGCAUUAGCUAGUUGGUAAGGUAACGGCUUACCAAGGCAACGAUGCAUAGCCGACCUGAGAGGGUGAUCGGCCACACUGGAACUGAGACACGGUCCAGACUCCUACGGGAGGCAGCAGUAGGGAAUCUUCCGCAAUGGGCGAAAGCCUGACGGAGCAACGCCGCGUGAGUGAUGAAGGUCUUCGGAUCGUAAAACUCUGUUAUUAGGGAGGAACAUAUGUGUAAGUAACUGUGCACAUCUUGACGGUACCUAAUCAGAAAGCCACGGCUAACUACGUG
rnacentral:rRNA from 1 species